GACGAACCGUGCGAACGUUAUUCGGAAUCACUGGGCUUAAAGGGUGCGUAGGCGGGCACGCGAGUCAGGGGUGAAAUCCCACGGCCCAACCGUGGAAGUGCCUCUGAUACCGCGAGCCUCGAGGGGGAUAGGGGCGUGCGGAACUUCCGGUGGAGCGGUGAAAUGCGUAGAUAUCGGAAGGAACACCGGUGGCGAAGGCGGCUCUCUGGGACGGUACUGACGCUGAGACGCGAAAGCGUGGGGAGCGAACAGG
rnacentral:rRNA from 1 species